rnacentral:rRNA from 1 species
GACGAACCGUCCAAACGUUAUUCGGAAUCACUGGGCUUACAGAGUUCGUAGGCGGUCUGGAAAGUUGGGUGUGAAAUCCCUCGGCUCAACCGAGGAACUGCGCUUGAAACUACCAGACUCGAGGGAGAUAGAGGAAAGCGGAACUGAUGGUGGAGCGGUGAAAUGCGUUGAUAUCAUCAGGAACACCGGUGGCGAAGGCGCUUUCUGGGGUCUUACCUGACGCUGAGGAACG